AAGGCCAGGUCACUGCCCUCUCUCAGGGAGGAGUCAGACCUCUAGUCUAAGCUGGCCCUGCACUGAUGAGCUAAAAUGAGGCUGUGGCUGCUGAGUUUGGUGGCAGGGGUCACCUUGGGGGUGGCCGGGACCCCUCUGGGAAAAGUCUCAACAGGAAGAAAACAAGCAGAGGAGGAAAAGGCAGGACAGGACAAGCUCAAGAAAACAAAGAGAGACUUCUUUAUAAUUGGUGGUUACUCAGGAAUAACUGAAACAACAUCAAGUAAGAAUGAAGUUGCUAAAACUUCACUCAUUUGUAAUGGUAGCUGCACUGAAUCUAAGAUGCACCAUUUGGAUAGUUCUGAGAAAGAAAAAGGAGAAGGAAAAGGACAAAGAGAGCUUGAUCCCUACAAAGAGUCCCUGGGUACCCUGGACCUUCAAAGGACCAUCCUCCUCCAGUUGCUUAACCAGACAAAGGCUAUGAACAGGAGCUCGGAAAUGGAUUUUACCCUUCAGAAUCUAAAUGGCAGCAGCAUCAGAGAUCUCUGUGAGGGCUGCUGUGAGGAGAGAGAGAAAGAGGAGCCAAACCUAAGCAGGAAACUAAGUAUGACAUUGAAGUCUCCCAGGAAGAGAAGACCUGGCCAGUGGACACUCCUUAGGGGUGUGGCUCUCCCGCUUGAGAACAGUUCCAUCAAUAUGGUGAUAAUGUUUCAUAAUGGCACUCAUAUCGGCUAUCAAGAUAAGAAAGUCACACACCAGGCUGAGAACCUCAGAGAAGGGUGGUGCUCUGGCUGCUGCGAAGACAGUGAAACUGUGGUGGUCCUUGAGAGAAGAGAGGGAGAAGAAGUCAGAGAAGUGCCUCCUAUUACCACUGAUCAUGGUGGUCAGGUCCUAGGGAACUCUGGCUCCACAGAGAUGAGAUUUGCUCACCUCUCCGAAGUUUCCCAUGAAGCUGGAGGGCAGUUUGAUCUCAGCUAAACAGUGCUCUAGUCUGGGCCUCUACCUUGAAUAAG
rnacentral:lncRNA from 1 species